rnacentral:rRNA from 1 species
GCUCAGGAUGAACGCUGGCGGCGUGCUUAACACAUGCAAGUCGAGCGAAGCACUUUUGCAGAUUUCUUCGGAUUGAAGCAAUUGUGACUGAGCGGCGGACGGGUGAGUAACGCGUGGGUAACCUGCCUCAUACAGGGGGAUAACAGUUGGAAACGGCUGCUAAUACCGCAUAAGCGCACAGUACCGCAUGGUACCGUGUGAAAAACUCCGGUGGUAUGAGAUGGACCCGCGUCUGAUUAGCUAGUUGGUGGGGUAACGGCCUACCAAGGCGACGAUCAGUAGCCGACCUGAGAGGGUGACCGGCCACAUUGGGACUGAGACACGGCCCAAACUCCUACGGGAGGCAGCAGUA